CUCAGCAAGCUGAGCACCUGCAGAGAGCUCAGUGCUGUGCUAGGGGCUAGUCAUUCAUUCCGUGCAGGACGUUUACUGAGCACCUACCCUCCGCUGGACAUUGGAAUACAAAAUAGAAAGGACGGUUCCUGUGUUCAGAUUGCUCAGAGUCCAGGCAAGGAGAAGCUGUUGAACAAGCAAGCAUGCAGCAGUCUUGUGGCAGAGGUGAGGGCCCAGGGUGACCUAAGAGAAAGCCAUUACUCUGGUGCUGAGGAAGAAGAACGUAAUGAUGAUAUGUGACCCCAGGCCCUGAAGGGCUUGGAUGGACUCCGCUUUAGAGCACAGCAUGUCUUCAUCUGGGCAGGGAUGAAGAGGUACCACCUUCCUGUCUCUUUCUUGGGGUCACUGUUUCAUCUCCAGAUAGUAAAUAUAGUUCUAUUUCCUGAGUGAGUAUUAUGUGCCUGGAAUCAUCCUUGCAUUCUUCUCACGAGAAAAUGCUGCAAUAGGGAAUAUCACCACCACUUAAUAAAUGGAUGACUCCCAUCACCAAAGAAGA